GCGGGUAUAGCUCAAGUGGUAGAGCACGUGCUUAGCAUGCACAAGGUCCUGGAUUCAAUCCCCAGUACCUCCU
rnacentral:tRNA from 1 species